rnacentral:rRNA from 1 species
CCUACGGGUGGCAGCAGUCGAGAAUCAUUCACAAUGGGGGAAACCCUGAUGGUGCGACGCCGCGUGGGGGAAUGAAGGUCUUCGGAUUGUAAACCCCUGUCAUGUGGGAGCAAAUUAAAAAGAUAGUACCACAAGAGGAAGAGACGGCUAACUCUGUGCCAGCAGCCGCGGUAAUACAGAGGUCUCAAGCGUUGUUCGGAAUCACUGGGCGGAAAGCGUGCGUAGGCUGUGUCGUAAGUCGUGUGUGAAAGGCGCGGGCUCAACCCGAGGACGGCACAUGAUACUGCGAGACUAGAGUAAUGGAGGGGGAACCGGAAUUCUCGGUGUAGCAGUGAAAUGCGUAGAUAUCGAGAGGAACACUCGUGGCGAAGGCGGGUUCCUGGACAUUAACUGACGCUGAGGCACGAAGGCCAGGGGAGCGAAAGGGAUUAGAUACCCCUGUAGUC